GAGUGAUCAAGUGUCUUAAGGGCAUUCGGUGGAUGCCUUGGCGACAAGAGGCGAUGAAGGACGUGAUACGCUGCGAUAAGCCAUGGGGAGCUGCGAAUAAGCUUUGAUCCGUGGAUUUCCGAAUGGGGAAACCCACUCCGUAUGGAGUACCCGCAAGGGAGCAAACCCGGGGAACUGAAACAUCUAAGUACCCGGAGGAAAGGACAUCAACCGAGACUCCGGCUAGUAGUGGCGAGCGAACGCGGACCAGGGCCCAGUGGCCUUGCAUUUAAGAACCGGAACCGUCUGGAAAGUCGGGGCAUUAGUGGGUGAUAGCCCGUUACGGGUAGAAAUUAUGCAAGUCCUCGAGUAGGGCGGGACACGUGAAAUCCUGUCUGAACGUGGGGGGACCACCCUCCAAGCCUAAGUACUCCUUGUCGACGAUAGCGAACAAGUACCGUGAGAGGGAAAGGUGAAAAGUACCCCGACGAGGGGAGUGAAACAGUUCCUGAAACCGGAUGCCUACAAACAGUUGGAGGGCGCAAGCCUGACAGCGUACCUUUUGUAUAAUGGGUCAGCGACUUAAUUUAACGAGCAAGCUUAAGCCGGUAGGUGUAGGCGUAGCGAAAGCGAGUCUGAAUAGGGCGCCCUAGUUCGUUGGAUUAGACCCGAAACCGAGUGAUCUAGCCAUGGCCAGGUUGAAGGUGCGGUAACACGCACUGGAGGACCGAACCCACGCCUGUUGAAAAAGUCGGGGAUGAGCUGUGGCUAGGGGUGAAAGGCCAAUCAAACUCGGAAAUAGCUGGUUCUCCGCGAAAUCUAUUUAGGUAGAGCGUCGGAUGAAUACUCUCGGGGGUAGAGCACUGGAUGGGCUAUGGGGGCUUACCGCCUUACUGAUCCUAACCAAACUCCGAAUACCGAGAAGUACUAUCCGGCAGACACACAGUGGGUGCUAACGUCCAUUGUGGAGAGGGAAACAACCCUGACCGCCAGUUAAGGUCCCUAAGUUAUGGCUAAGUGGGAAAGGAUGUAGAACUCCCAAAACAACCAGGAUGUUGGCUUAGAAGCAGCCAUCAUUUAAAGAAAGCGUAACAGCUCACUGGUCUAAAUAAGGGGUUCCGCGCCGAAAAUGUACCGGGGCUCAAGCCAUACACCGAAACUGCGGGUGCAUCUUAUGAUGCGCGGUAGCGGAGCGUUCUGUAAGUCUGCGAAGGGGGACCCGUGAGGGCUCCUGGAGAUAUCAGAAGUGCGAAUGCUGACAUGAGUAACGAUAAAGCGGGUGAGAGACCCGCUCGCCGAAAGUCCAAGGGUUCCUGCGCAACGCUAAUCGGCGCAGGGUUAGCCGGCCCCUAAGGCGAGGCCGAAAGGCGUAGUCGAUGGGAAUGCAGUUAAUAUUCUGCAGCUUGGUGGUAGUGACGGAUGCCGUGUGUUGUAUCUCCUUAUUGGAUUGGGGGUGCAGCGAAGGUGUUCCAGGAAAUAGCUCCACCGUAUAAACCGUACCCGAAACCGACACAGGUGGACUGGUAGAGAAUACCAAGGCGCUUGAGAGAACUAUGCUGAAGGAACUCGGCAAAAUGCUCCCGUAAGUUCGCGAGAAGGGAGACCUCACGACGGGCAACCGUUGUGGGGUGGCACAGACCAGGGGGUGGCGACUGUUUAUCAAAAACACAGGGCUCUGCGAAGCCGUAAGGCGACGUAUAGGGUCUGACGCCUGCCCGGUGCUGGAAGGUUAAGAGGAGGUGUGCAAGCACCGAAUUGAAGCCCCAGUAAACGGCGGCCGUAACUAUAACGGUCCUAAGGUAGCGAAAUUCCUUGUCGGGUAAGUUCCGACCUGCACGAAUGGCGUAACGACUUCCCCGCUGUCUCCAGCAUAGACUCAGUGAAAUUGAAUUCCCCGUGAAGAUGCGGGGUUCCUGCGGUCAGACGGAAAGACCCCGUGCACCUUUACUACAGCUUCACACUGGUAUUCGUCACGACAUGUGUAGGAUAGGUGGUAGACGUUGAAGCAGGAGCGCCAGCUCUUGUGGAGUCACCCUUGAAAUACCACCCUUGUCGUCAUGGAUAUCUAACCGCGGUACAACAAUAUCCGGGACCGUGUGUGGCGGGUAGUUUGACUGGGGCGGUCGCCUCCCAAAUGGUAACGGAGGCGCGCGAAGGUGGGCUCAGAGCGGUCGGAAAUCGCUCGUUGAGUGCAAUGGCAUAAGCCUGCCUGACUGCGAGACUGACAAGUCGAGCAGAGUCGAAAGACGGCCAUAGUGAUCCGGUGGUCCCUCGUGGAAGGGCCAUCGCUCAACGGAUAAAAGGUACGCCGGGGAUAACAGGCUGAUGAUGCCCAAGAGUCCAUAUCGACGGCAUUGUUUGGCACCUCGAUGUCGACUCAUCACAUCCUGGGGCUGGAGCAGGUCCCAAGGGUUUGGCUGUUCGCCAAUUAAAGUGGUACGUGAGUUGGGUUCAGAACGUCGCGAGACAGUUCGGUCCCUAUCUGCCGUGGGUGUAGGAGAAUUGAGAGGAUCUGUCCCUAGUACGAGAGGACCGGGAUGGACGUACCUCUGGUGGACCUGUUGUGGCGCCAGCCGCAUUGCAGGGUAGCUAUGUACGGAAGGGAUAACCGCUGAAAGCAUCUAAGCGGGAAACCCACCUCAAAACCAGUUCUCCCUGAAGAGCCGUGGAAGACCACCACGUCGAUAGGAAGCGUGUGGAAGUGCGGCAACGCAUGAAGCUUAGCUUUACUAAUAGCUCGUUCGGCUUGAUCCUCUCAUU
rnacentral:rRNA from 1 species